CUAAUAGGUCAGCUUGGCAGCUCAUGGACCGGCUGCUAGGAAACAGGUCGCAACCCCACGUACAAUGGAUCUAAUAGCGGAUGGUGUUUUCCCAUAUUUGGGGUGCCUCGACAGCUGGCAUCUUCAUCUAUCCGUCUACUGUCACUUCUGGCAGUUGGAAGGCCCUUUUAGGAUUGCUCUAGUAUCUCCCAGAAUAGGUACCAGCAAAACAAUCAGCGUUGGAUUUGUCG